rnacentral:lncRNA from 1 species
CCCAGACCCUUAUUUGGCAUUCGCAAUAUGAGUGCACAGGACAUGUAUCAAAGUGUAGAUACCUAGGUACAGAUUAUAGUGUAUGCCAUAUAGGAGCAGGAGAACCUAGGUGUUUUAAUCCUGAGUAUCAGCCCCGUACAAUUUGGUUGACUAUUCGGAAUGAGAAUGCACAGGGGAACCUGAUAAAUAAGACUGUACUAGAAAGCGUACAUUCUCCAGGUGUUUUGCUAUUUGAUGCAUGUAAGGCGAUAUCAGGUAGUAGGAAGCCAUGGAAUGUAUGUGGUGGUCUUAAAUGGGAAAGAACGUAUGGGUCUAAUGAUAAG